rnacentral:rRNA from 1 species
GAGAGUUUGAUCCUGGCUCAGGAUGAACGCUGGCGGUCUGCUUAACACAUGCAAGUCGAACGCAACCUUCGGGUUGAGUGGCGGACGGGUGAGUAACGCGUGAGAAUCUGCCUUGGGGUCGGGGACAACCACUGGAAACGGUGGCUAAUACCGGAUACGCCUUCGGGUAAAAGAUUUAUUGCCCUAAGAGGAGCUCGCGUCUGAUUAGCUAGUUGGUGAGGUAAGAGCUCACCAAGGCAGCGAUCAGUAGCUGGUCUGAGAGGACGAUCAGCCACACUGGGACUGAGACACGGCCCAGACUCCUACGGGAGGCAGCAGUGGGGAAUUUUCCGCAAUGGGCGAAAGCCUGACGGAGCAAGACCGCGUGAGGGAGGAAGGCUCUUGGGUUGUAAACCUCUUUUCUCAGGGAAGAAGCUCUGACGGUACCUGAGGAAUCAGCCUCGGCUAACUCCGUGCCAGCAGCCGCGGUAAUACGGAGGAGGCAAGCGUUAUCCGGAAUUAUUGGGCGUAAAGCGUCCGCAGGUGGCGAUUCAAGUCUGCUGUCAAAGCACGGGGCUUAACUCCGUAAAGGCAGUGGAAACUGAAUAGCUAGAGUGCCGUAGGGGUAGAGGGAAUUCCCGGUGUAGCGGUGAAAUGCGUAGAGAUCGGGAAGAACAUCGGUGGCAAAAGCGCUCUACUGGACGGCAACUGACACUCAGGGACGAAAGCUAGGGGAGCGAAUGGGAUUAGAUACCCCAGUAGUCCUAGCUGUAAACGAUGGAUACUAGGUGUAGCUUGUAUCGACCCGAGCUGUGCCGAAGCUAACGCGUUAAGUAUC